ensembl:misc_RNA 7SK 7SK RNA
GGAUGUGAGGGUGAUCUGGCUGUGACAUCUGUCACCCUAUUGAUCGCCAGGGUUGAUUCAUCUAUCUGACUAGCUAGGUGGGUGUUCUCUUUCUCCUUCACUGCUCCACGUAUGUCCCUCUGGAAGCUGCGUGCUCAGUUGAAGAGACAGCCUUCCUCGAAUAGCGCUGACCAGUCUUCCAUCAAGGCUAUAUGAGGGCUAUAUGAGUAGUUGCCGCUCCCCUGCUAGAACCUCCAGUCAAGCUCUCAAGACUAAGCUAGAGUCCCACUCAGGUAACCUUUUAUAGAUCCUGCAUCAGAGGCUAUGAGUCACCCAACUGGUAUACUUCCGCC